AUAAUACUCCCUCCAUCCGAAAAUACUUGUCAUCAAAAUGGAUAAAAAAAGAUGCAUCUAUAACUAAAAUACGUCUAGAUACAUUCCCUUUUAUCCAUUUUGAUGACAAGUAUUUCCGGACGGAGGGAGUAUCAC
rfam:Triticum urartu cultivar G1812 contig1103617, whole genome shotgun sequence.